CGCCGCCAUUUUGGGCUGGGAGGAGGCAGCGGAGGGACUCGCUGCGCAGUGAGAGCACCCCGUGGGGGGUGGUCCGGGCGCGGGGAGAGGCCGGGCCGAGUGGGCUACCUGAAGUGGCGGCGCCGGGAGACGGCGGGAAGUGGGACCGGGGGCCAGGGAGGGUGAAGGUUGGAGUCUCCUCGGCCGAGCCCGGUCCUCAAACCGUCCCGGCAGCCCCGCAGCCUCGCCUCUCACAGAGUGCGGGGUUCUUCGAUGUUUUACAACUGGAUUACAAAAUAGGAUCAUCAUUGACUAGGGUCCUCAAUCCAAAACUGGAACCACUUACUCCUAACUGAAGCUUCAGUACACUUGAUGCCUACUGUGGUUUGAUUUUUUACCUACAUAUGACAUGUUCGCUCUACACUGAUCAAGAGAUCAUCAAGAAAGAAAACCAAGGCACUAGAAAGCAAGCACACUUAAGUAUUGAAGAUAAUUACAUCUUAAAUUUUGCCUGAACUGUAUAUUGUAGCAUACUUAAACCCAUUCAAGGAAAAAAUUGGCAAAUUGAAAAUUCUCCCAUUAAAGAUUGAUAUUUUUGCAAACUGACAAAUUUAACGAUUUCGGUACCCCUCCCCAAAAAUGCAGUCACAUAAAAUAUAUCAAUACUAUUUUGAAUUAGCUCUAGAAAUCACACUGAAACUAUGUUACAUUUACAAAUAUUAAAUUUAUUAUAACUAAAAUGAAUUUAAUUGUUCUCAGAUUUGGCCACCUUAUAGCUCCGUUUAAGGAGGGGAUUUGUUAAAAACAAAAAUGCAUUAUAACUUGGUCAAAUUACUUUCACAUUAAGGAAAAAAACUUCUAAAAAGGAAAACAAGAAAAGCAACUCUUCAGUUUCACAUAAUUAAAAGAACAGGAGAAAGCACGCAAGCUACAUAUAGCUAAAUUUACGAAACCAAAGCCAGGGGGAUUUCUCUUCUGAUUAUGUGUCAUAAAAAGGUCCACUGUCUUAUAUACACAUGUAUAUAAUGUUACAUUCCAUCACUGUAAAAAGUCCCCUUUGCCCCCUCCCCCAAAAAAGUUUCAGUCUAGUCUCCAAACUUGGAAAGCGGCGCUCGCUCCUGCUGCCGGUGCAGUUCGUUCUCGGUCAGCAGCUGGAGGUUCUCGGCGCGCAGCCGGUCCAGCUCCAGCUCCAGCUCCCGCACACGCGCGUCGUCGCCACCCAGCCGCUUGCUCUCCAGCCGCAGCCGGUUGUUCUCGUCCUCCAUGCGCGAGAGGCACUUCUCCAGUUCCAGGUACUCCUUGAUGAGCUCCUGCUUGCUCAUGUUCUGCAGGCUCUCCGUGUGGUACCGCUCGUACGUCUCCGAGAAGUCCCGCUGCAGAAACUCGCUGCCGUCCCCUCCCAUCCCAUCGCUGCCCCCAUCCUCCUCACCCCCUUCUUCCAUGAAGUCGUCAUCGCUGGUGUCGUCGGAUUUGGCGGCGGCCCGCUUGGAGUACAGGCCGGUUUUGAGAUCCGGCUCCUCCUGGUCGUGAUCAUCCAUGAGGAACUGCGUGGUGUUAUAGGGCGCGACCGGCUGGCCCUUGGCGAACAUCUCGGCUCGGAUCCUUGAAGCUCGAAGGCUCUGUUUCUCGUCGAACUUUUUCUUCUCUUCCCAGGUCAGCUUGUAGUACGGUUUCCAAUGCCGCUUCUUCUUGGACGGGCGUCUCCUAUGUUUUUUCUUCCCCAGCUGUCUCUGCUGCUGUCCCCACUCCUCUUCGCCCCCUGCGGCAGGAGCCCCCAACUUACUGGCCUCGGAGUCAUGACAAGGCUGGGCGAGCAGCUCGGCCUCGGGCGUCGGUUCCACUUCUGCCGGCGGCGGGAAGUCGCCGCCAGCGGACGAGUCGUCCCCAUUCUGGCCCUUCUCGCCCUCUCUCAGGCAGCUAGAUUCUGGACAGGCCUGGGUCUGCAAGGGAGGUGGUUGGGAUUCCAGGCUCCCUUCCCCCUCCGGCCCCGGACGGCCACCCAACUGGGGGAACGCUCUCGAUUGCCACCUACUGUCCUCCUCGGGCACCCGCUCCUCCGCGCCUGGGGGGCGCUCAGGGUUCAGCUCUUCCUGGACAGCAGCAGCACCUGUACAGUUGCUAGUUUGAGGCUGGUGUUGAUAUUCUGACAAGAAUGGCUCGGCCAUGGCUAGUAGAGUCCUCGAAGUUU
rnacentral:lncRNA from 1 species